rnacentral:rRNA from 1 species
GACGAACGCUGGCGGCGUGCUUAACACAUGCAAGUCGAACGGUGAAAGGGAGCUUGCUCCCUGGAUCAGUGGCGAACGGGUGAGUAACACGUGGGCAACCUGCCCCAGACUUCGGGAUAACGCUUCGAAAGGAGUGCUAAUACAGGAUACGAACUCCUUGGGCAUCCUUGGGGUUGGAAAGUUUUUCGGUCUGGGAUGGGCCCGCGGCCUAUCAGCUUGUUGGUGAGGUAACGGCUCACCAAGGCGACGACGGGUAGCCGGCCUGAGAGGGCGACCGGCCACACUGGGACUGAGACACGGCCCAGACUCCUACGGGAGGCAGCAGUGGGGAAUAUUGCGCAAUGGGCGAAAGCCUGACGCAGCAACGCCGCGUGAGGGAUGACGGCCUUCGGGUUGUAAACCUCUUUCAGCAGGGAAGAAGCGAAAGUGACGGUACCUGCAGAAGAAGCACCGGCUAACUACGUGCCAGCCGCCGCCGUAA